AAGAUUUGGGAAGUCAGACCUCACAUCACUGGGAUACUGGUCAGAGGACAGCCCUUGGAUGUCUUCUAGAGUCUCCAUUCCCUCCUUCGCAUGAGUCCUUUCUGUGAUUAGGGUAUGGCAGCAACAACCAAGAUGGGGGCUCUGAAAGGAGGGCAAGGGUUCAGGGGAGGAGAGCAUGGCCCCACAUGGAAUGCUGCCCUUGGUCACCCCAGCCCUCUCUCAAUUUCCCUCACAACCCACCAUCAGGAGCCUCAGAGUAGGCCAGCGUUUGAAACAAGUUUUCAGUGCCGCAAAAGAAACAGCACUCAAACAGAAAUUUUUUUCUCAGCAAGGCAAAUUUACUUCUGCAGAAGGGUGCAGCUGGCGCCAGACAUGAUCACAAGAGCACACUGAGUAGGGUGGGGCAGGAGUUUUUAUCCCUAAUGCAGCAGCUUCUGUAGCUGUGUCCUUUCCCCAUUGGCUGGAGUUGGACUGCACAAUCUAAGCUGAGACCUGACUGGCUACUGUUUAAAAUUGAACAGGGCUAACUAGGCAGGAAGGGAGAGGCUGUCCCUUACAAUUUUAGGGUGCAGUAAAGGCAGAAAGGAUAGUUGCAGAGUAGGGAAUAGAUGUGAGUUAUAGAUUAGGACUGAUGGGAAGAUUGUUUACCAUAAUUAGAGGCAAGGGGGCAUAAAGAACGAGGAAGUUACUCUUUGAAAAUAGAGAACAAAGAACAAGGAAGCUGAACAAGCUGACUCUUCUUUGAAGAGGAACCCACCGUACCCAACACCAGAAAGACUAUAACCUUGCUUUGAAGGCUGGGAGUCCAAGAUCCAGGUGUCAGCAGUGUUGGUAUCUCCUGUGGCCACUCUCCUGGGCUUGCAGACGGCGUCUUCUCCCUGUGUCCCCACAUGACCACCCUUCUCCACCUUAGCAUCCCCGGUGUCUCUGUGUGUCCGGAUGUCCUUUUCUCAUGAGGACCAGAGAGAGAAGCAUCCCUGCUGAUGAGAAAGAACAGACACUCCCAGAGGACAAGGUCCACCUGUCAGGCAGCCACAGCCCAGCAUACUCUGGAGUCUGAGGUGGGGGUCAGUUGUGAAGAAAGGGAAGAAGGAAGAAAAAGGAUACGUUGUGCUCCGACCACAGGCCAAGCAGGUCAGAAGACGGUAUUUACCAAGUCUCUUCCCAAAAUACUUGCAAAUGCACAUAAUCUCAAAGUGUUUUUGAGGGCUCUUCCGAUCUAAAAUUGGUCCUAGUGACAAGGGGUGUUUGGGGAAAUCAAAGGGCUGGCUUAACUAUGUAGACCUAGGUCUGGUCUUAUUUCUGGCCCAUACGAUCAUCAUGACCUUGGACAAAUGAAACUUCCUGGGCCUCAAGUUCCUUGUAUCAGAAAGGAUGGCAUUCAGCUGCGUACAACAGAAAACCAAAUCACAGUGGCUUAUCCAAGAAAAGUUCAAUUUUUCUCAAAACUACAGCGUCCUGGGCUGAUGCGGCAGCCCCAGGACGACCUCAGCAUCUCACUCCUCCUUUCUUUACUCGGCCCCAUCCUCAGGCUGUGACUUUCAUCCUCAGGUUUGUCAUCUUUUGGUGGUAAGAUGGUUGCUCUACCUCAAGCUCACAAAAAGAAAUGGGGGAAAGCAGGAAAGAAGAAAAUCUGCUUCCCCAGAGACUCUGAGGCUGCACUUGCACAUCUUAUGGAUCCAAACUGUGUCCCAUGGCUGCCCCUAGAUGCAAGGGGCCUGGGGAAAUGAGCGGAUUCAUCAGGUACACUGCAACCGUACAUGAAAGGAAAGUUCUGUCAAUAAAGAAGAGCGAAAUCUACAUUUGGUCAGGAAACAGCAUUGCCUGCAAUAUGCCUCAUAUGAAAUAAAGCCUUUCUUGCCCCCAUUCUGCUACUCGGUCAUUCUUGCACUCAACAAAUAGAUGUUGAGUGCCCACUCUCUCCAGGCCAUGUUCUAGGUGCUGCGGAUGCAAUCCUGAAUCUAUGAACACGAUUGGCAGAACAAUAAAUAUUGAUUGUCUUGGCCACUCACCAAAUAAAGUGCUCCUGGGAAGGCUGAGAUCUAAUGCAAAGCAGCAGCUUGACUUUCUCACUCCCUGGCAACAAUGCCAAGCAAGAGAAAGCGAUGGGUAAGGCCUGGCUCAAGAGUCUCACUGCAACCUGCACUGUAGAUUCUACCUGCUAAUUUCCUCAGCCUUCUCUGGUUUUGGGCUUCAGAAUGCCCUAACUCUGGGCCCGGCGCGGUGGCUCACGCCUGUAAACCCAUCACUUUGGGAGGCCAAGGCGGGUGGAUCACAAGAUCAAGACCAUCCUGGCCAACAUGGUGAAACCCUGUCUCUACUGAAAAUACAAAAAUUAGCUGGGCAUGGUGGCUUGUGCUUGUAAUCCAGCUACUUGGAAGGCUGAGGCUGGAGGAUCGCUUGAACCCAGAAGGCAGAGGUUGCAGUGAGCUGAGAUCACACCACUGCACUCCAGCCUGGCAACAGAGUGAGACUCUGUCUCAAAAAAAAAAAAAAAAAAAAAAAGAAUGCCCUAAGUCUACUCUGGACCAUGAGCAAGGAUAAUCUGUCUUAGAGGAGAGAAGGUGAGGUUAUGAUUCCAGAGCAUUUGGUGACCCAGGAAGUAGACCUGCCUCCUCCUAUCUGUCCACAGAGCAGUCCUAGGGGCAAUAGGCCAUGAGAAGAUCAUGCCAGGCAGUCCAUUUCUAUAUUACCAUGUAAACAAAAACUCAGCUGUGAACCCUGGAACGUUCGUAUUCUGCAGCUGCCAGUGUAAACUGGUACAGGCCUCUUGAAGAACAGUGGGGAAAGGCACUCUGAAAGCAUCCACGCCUCCAUACCUGCUGAUCCAGGGCUCUGAUUUUCCUUCUGGGAACCAAGCCUAGGAGAAUGAUUCAAGCUGCAGAAAACCUUUCUCCACUAAGAUGUUUGCUGUGGCAUUCAGUAUAAUAGCACACCAGAGAAACAAUCUAAAGAUUCAUCAGUAGGAGAAUAUCUAAGUAAAUUAUGGUACAUACACUCAAUAAAAUGUUAUAUGACUACUAAUUAUGGUGGUUACAAAGACUAUCUCUUUAAGAAAAAUGCUUCUGUGAAUGGUUAAGUGAAAAUUGCAAGAUACGGGCUGGGUGCAGUGGCUCACACCGGGUGCAGAGUCUCACUCUGUUG
rnacentral:lncRNA from 1 species